rnacentral:rRNA from 1 species
UAAGGAAUAUUGCUCAAUGGGAGAAAUCCUGAAGCAGCAACGCCGCGUGGAGGAUGAAGGGUCUAUGACUUGUAAACUCCUGUAAAGAAGGAAAAAAUUCCCAUUAGAUGGGAGAUGAUGGUACUUCUGGGGUAAGCCCCGGCUAACUACGUGCCAGCAGCCGCGGUAAUACGUAGGGUGCGAGCGUUAAUCGGAAUUACUGGGCGUAAAGCGUGCGCAGGCGGUUUUGUAAGACAGAUGUGAAAUCCCCGGGCUUAACCUGGGAACUGCGUUUGUGACUGCAAGGCUGGAGUACGGCAGAGGGGGGUGGAAUUCCACGUGUAGCAGUGAAAUGCGUAGAGAUGUGGAGGAGCACCGAUGGCGAAGGCAGCCCCCUGGGCCUGUACUGACGCUCAUGCACGAAAGCGUGGGGAGCAAACA